GAUGAACGCUGGCGGCGUGCUUAACACAUGCAAGUCGAACGAAGCACUUUUAUUUGAUUUCUUCGGAAUGAAGAUUUUAGUGACUGAGUGGCGGACGGGUGAGUAACGCGUGGGUAACCUGCCUCAUACAGGGGGAUAACAGUUAGAAAUGACUGCUAAUACCGCAUAAGACCACAGCACCGCAUGGUGCAGAGGUAAAAACUCCGGUGGUAUGAGAUGGACCCGCGUCUGAUUAGGUAGUUGGUGGGGUAACGGCCUACCAAGCCGACGAUCAGUAGCCGACCUGAGAGGGUGGCCGGCCACAUUGGGACUGAGACACGGCCCAAACUCCUACGGGAGGCAGCAGUGGGGAAUAUUGCACAAUGGGGGAAACCCUGAUGCAGCGACGCCGCGUGAGCGAUGAAGUAUUUCGGUAUGUAAAGCUCUAUCAGCAGGGAAGAAAAUGACGGUACCUGACUAAAAAGCCCCGGCUAACUACGUGCCAGCCGCCGCAGUAA
rnacentral:rRNA from 1 species